rnacentral:lncRNA from 1 species
CCUAAGAUUACCUACAGGGUCUUCCAUAUAUCUUGUCAAAUGCCUUACGGUAUUUAUCUAUUUCACAUUUCACACCCACGAUGAAACCAACAACAACACCUGCAAUAGUGAGCAGUGCUUGAAUCCUCUUCCUUUUUUCUUCAUUUAUGUUCUCCCUAUCAAAAGGAUGUGCAUAACACAUGACUAUUAGGAUCGUUUCAUUUGAGUACAAAUCAAAUACAGUAAGUUGUAGCGAUGAACAUCAUUUCAAAAAAAAAAGGUGUAGCGCCUCCAAUUAAUUACCUCUCAGCUUC